UACGUAGGGUGCGAGCGUUAAUCGGAAUUACUGGGCGUAAAGCGUGCGCAGGCGGUUUUGUAAGACAGGUGUGAAAUCCCCGGGCUUAACCUGGGAACUGCGCUUGUGACUGCAAGACUCGAGUACGGCAGAGGGGGGUAGAAUUCCACGUGUAGCAGUGAAAUGCGUAGAGAUGUGGAGGAAUACCGAUGGCGAAGGCAGCCCCUGGGUCGAUACUGACGCUCAUGCACGAAAGCGUGGGGAGCAAACAGG
rnacentral:rRNA from 1 species